CCAAAACCAGGUUGUCACGUGCACAAGCCUCUAAUGUAAACAUUUGAAUUGAAACAAAAUAGAAAAGAGGAAAAAGAAGGAGAAGAGUCUAACAUGAAGUUGUUUUUCAAGUAAAAACAAAGUCAUAAACUGGAGUAGGAAAGUUUGCUGAGAUGACAAGCAGCUACCUCACAAUCCUCCACAAGAUGCCUCGGAAACGAAAAGAAUGACAGGUAUCACGAAGAUCCAGGCUCGUAUCCUACAAAAAUUUGUAGAAGCAAGGGGUGAGUACCAAACCACGCGGUACCCAACAAGCAAACUUCUAAACACAAGUUAAGUGAACAAAAUACGGGCACUUCUUACACCAUAUCUAAACCUCCACGCUACAGUCUAAUAGUUUACAGUCUACCAAACACACAACUCAAUAACCACACUCUAUCAGUUUACACAUUCUCAAUAACAACUCAAUAUUCAACAGUCACAAGCUUCACAGAGAAACACUCACAAGAUCAACAAAACACGUGUUCAAGUUCAUCAAUAAUAAAAUGUGUAAUGCCAUGAGAUGCAAUGUCAAGUAUAGUGAUGCAUGUCUUCCCUAACGAUACACACCCGCUGUCUCUCAGUCCGGGACCCAUGGGGGACAUAUCUGUCCAUGCAUCUGUCGGGGCGCACGACACGACCCUCGAUAAUAGUAACCUUCGCGGCGCGCGAUACGUCCCUCGAAAUGUACUAUCCAUCGCGGCGCGCGAUACGUCCCUCGAAAUGUAAUAUCCAUCGCGGCGCGCGAUACGACCCUCGAAAUGGUACAUCCUCUUACCACAAACAUGUCUCAAAUACAAUGCAAAUGACAUGCUCGAAUGAAAAUGAGAAGAUAACCAUUUUGAUAACAAAGCACAAUUCACAACCAGGAAUACAACACCAACAAAUAAGCAACAAGUCUCCAAAUCAUUCUCAACACCACGCAAGGAAAUACACGAAUUUCAUACGCUUAACAAGGGUUUAGAAAUCCACUUGCCUCAAAUAGUCGAACAAUUCACUUCGGAACUUGAAUCUUCCCCUUUGUUUGAAGUUCCAAUUCAAAGCAAUCUAUUCAAAUAAAUGUCCAUAAUAAGAUUUCAAGACGAAAAAUAUCCACAUAACUUUGUGUUUAGUCUAGACUCUAAACUCACUCAAAUAUAUAACCAAGUUCUAAUCUCGAUGUCAAUUAAUAUGUCAACUCCUUUAAUUUUCUCCAAAUUUCAAGCCUAGAGUUUAGUCUUAAAUCCUCCAAAUAACAUAAGUUUUAUUGUAUUCGUAUAAUACAUACACCUCAUGAUUAACUACAUAUCUCAAUAUAUCAAAACUUAACUAUAAGAAAAUCAAGAAACUCAACUAAACCCAUAACUCAUAUUAUUACUUAAGUACUUACGGACCACUGACCACACCCUCAAUUUAAUUUACAUAAUUAUUUUAGUAAUUAUUUUAUCAAAUUAUUUGAAAACAAUAAACAAGAUCCUUAUUUUCUUUAUCACUUAAUUAGCAGAUAUGCACUUUGUACUUUCAAUAUCAUCCUGCCACCACUAUUACUUAAUCAUUAAUGGCCAAUCAUGAUAUCAAUUACUUCCUCCCCCAAAUCAUCAAAAGAACGCUCCAACAACAUUAAAUGCACUUUAAUUUUCAUUAUUAAAUUUAACUAAAUUCUAUUACUCUACAUUCAAUAUUUAUAUGUAUAAUACCAAGAUGAAACGUGAGAUCAACCUUACCUGAAGCCAAAUCGUCCUCGUGUUGCUAUAUGAUAUCGCC
rnacentral:lncRNA from 1 species